AUGAGUGAGUCGCUACCACAGGAAGAGUUUUCCACGUUAGUUAUUACACUUUGGGCAAUAUGGCACGCUCGCCGGAAGCUGAUACAUGAAGGGAUUUUCCAAACUCCUUUUUCCACACAAGCUUUCAUCAGAAGCUACCUCUGUGAUCUUCAACUCACCUUCAAGGCUCCCAGCAGGGGACGGGCUGAGGCUCAACUGAAGCCAACGACCUGGCUACCUCCUCAGGAGGGGCACUCCAAGCUUAAUGUGGAUGCAGCAGUGCCUAGGGCAGGAGGUUUUGGUGCAGUGGGAGCGAUUUGUAGAGAUGCCACCGGAAUGUUCUUGGGUGCAUCCGCCGUUGUUUUUAGAAACAUUGACCAGCCGGAGAUCCUCGAAAGCCUUGCCAUUAGAGAGUCUCUAGCUCUUGCUGACGAUAUGUAUAUCCAAAAAAUUCAAGUGGCCUCUGAUUGCAAGUCAGCAGUUGAAGCGAUCCAGCGAGGAACAUCUUUGGCAUAUGGUGCAGUAGUGAGGGAGAUCAAAGAACACUCUAGUAGUUUUACUUCCUGUUUAUUUAAACAUGAAUUUAGAACUUCGAAUGUCGAAGCACACAAACUAGCAAAGCAUGCUUUAACUCUCGGGACCAGUCGCCAUGUUUGGUUAGGCCACCCGGGAAAACUUUCUUUCGUCCAUGUAAGUGUGACAGGUCAAUAA
rnacentral:rRNA from 1 species